GAUCCUGGCUCAGGAUGAACGCUGGCGGCGUGCCUAACACAUGCAAGUCGAGCGAGAACUUAUGUAAAGAAGCUUCGGUAGAUUUACAAAAGGGAAAGCGGCGGACGGGUGAGUAACGCGUAGGCAACCUGCCCCAUACAGGGGGAUAGCCACCGGAAACGGUGAUUAAUACCUCAUAAAGCAUAGAUAACACAUGUUAAAGAUGUCAAAGAGAAUUCGGUAUGGGAUGGGCCUGCGUCUGAUUAGUUAG
rnacentral:rRNA from 1 species